AAAUAUUUAAUAUGGUGAUGUUCGAUUGUUAUUGUGCGACUUGUUGUUUGCUGAAAUGUGCAGUUAGAGGCUAGUUAAUUGAGGAUAAGCAACGAUUCAAGUUUAGGGUUGUGAUGACAAUCCGUCAUUGCAUAUAUUUAGUCGAAGAAUCGGAGAAAAACAAGUGAAAGUUGAGCUAAAACAAAGAAGAAUAACCAAAGGAUGAGGCAAAAAUAGCUAAUGUGAAAAUUAUGGACUUCG
rnacentral:lncRNA from 1 species